CCUACGGGAGGCAGCAGUGAGGAAUAUUGGUCAAUGGGCGCGAGCCUGAACCAGCCAAGUAGCGUGAAGGAUGACUGCCCUACGGGUUGUAAACUUCUUUUAUAAAGGAGUAAAGUGAGGCACUUGUACCUUUUUGGAUGUAUUUUAUGAAUAAGGAUCGGCUAACUCCGUGCCAGCAGCCGCGGUAAUACGGAGGAUCCGAGCGUUAUACGGAUUUAUUUGGUUUAAAGGGAGCGUAGAUGGGUUGUUAAGUCAGUUGUGAAAGUUUGGGGCUCAACCCGAAAAUUGCAAUUGAUACUGGCAGCCUUGAGUACAGGUGAGGUAGGCGGAAUUCGUGGUGUAGCGGUGAAAUGCUUAGAGAUCACGAAGAACUCCGAUUGCGAAGGCAGCCUACUAAAC
rnacentral:rRNA from 1 species